rnacentral:rRNA from 1 species
GACGAACGCUGGCGGCGUGCUUAACACAUGCAAGUCGAGCGGAAAGGCCCUUCGGGGUACUCGAGCGGCGAACGGGUGAGUAACACGUGAGUAAUCUGCCCUUCACUCUGGGAUAACUGCCGGAAACGGUGGCUAAUACCGGAUAUGACAACUUAGCGCAUGUGAUGGUGGUGGAAAGUUUUUUCGGUGGAGGAUGUGCUCGCGGCCUAUCAGAUUGUUGGUGGGGUAAUGGCCUACCAAGGCCUCGACGGGUAGCCGGCCUGAGAGGGUGACCGGCCACACUGGGACUGAGACACGGCCCAGACUCCUACGGGAGGCAGCAGUGGGGAAUAUUGGACAAUGGGCGGAAGCCUGAUCCAGCAACGCCGCGUGAGGGAUGACGGCCUUCGGGUUGUAAACCUCUUUCAGUACCGACGAAGCGAGAGUGACGGUAGGUACAGAAGAAGCACCGGCCAACUACGUGCCAGCCGCCGCAGUAAAAC